rnacentral:rRNA from 1 species
GACGAACGCUGGCGGCGUGCUUAACACAUGCAAGUCGAACGAUGACGACCGUGCUUGCACGGUCUGAUUAGUGGCGAACGGGUGAGUAACACGUGAGUAACCUGCCCCCCACUCUGGGAUAACCUCGGGAAAUCGGGGCUAAUACCGGAUAUGAGCUCCUACCGCAUGGUGGGUGCUGGAAAGUUUUUCGGUGGGGGAUGGACUCGCGGCCUAUCAGUUUGUUGGUAAGGUAAUGGCUCACCAAGGCGAUGACGGGUAGCCGGCCUGAGAGGGCAACCGGCCACACUGGGACUGAGACACGGCCCAGACUCCUACGGGAGGCAGCAGUGGGGAAUAUUGCACAAUGGGCGAAAGCCUGAUGCAGCGACGCCGCGUGGGGGAUGACGGCCUUCGGGUUGUAAACCUCUUUCAGUAGGGAAGAAGCGAAAGUGACGGUACCUGCAGAAGAAGCGCCGGCUAACUCCGUGCCAGCAGCCGCAGUAA